AUUGAACGCUGGCGGAAUGCCUAACACAUGCAAGUCGAGCGGCAGCACGGGGGCAACCCUGGGGUCCAGCGGCGAACGGGUGAGUAAUACAUCGGAACAUGCCCAGUCGUGGGGGAUAACACCUGGAAAGAGGUGCUAAUACCGCAUACGUCCUGAGGGGGAAAGCGGGGGAUCGUAGGACCUCGCGCGAUUGGAUGAGCCGAGGUCGGAUUAGCUAGUUGGUGGGGUAAAGGCCUACCAAGGCAACGAUCCGUAGCUGGUCUGAGAGGAUGAUCAGCCACACUGGAACUGAGACACGGUCCAGACUCCUACGGGAGGCAGCAGUGGGGAAUAUUGGACAAUGGGGGAAAGCCUGAUCCAGCCAUGCCGCGUGAGUGAAGAAGGUCUUCGGGUUGUAAAGCUCUUUAGGUAGGAAGGAAACGCAGAACGUUAACAUCGCGCGGUAAUGACGGUACCUAAAGAAGAAGCACCGGCUAACUACGUG
rnacentral:rRNA from 1 species